CAGAGACUGCAAGCGUUAUUCGGAUUCACUGGGCGUAAAGGGUGCGCAGGCGGCCGGGUGUGUCAGAUGAGAAAUCCCGAGGCUUAACCUCGGAACUGCGUCUGAAACUACUCGGCUAGAGUAUUGGAGAGGGUAACGGAAUUCACGGUGUAGCAGUGAAAUGCGUAGAUAUCGUGAGGAACACCAGAGGCGAAGGCGGUUACCUGGACAAUUACUGACGCUCAGGCACGAAAGCAUGGGGAGCAAAAGGGAUUAGAUACCCCUGUAGUCCAUGCCCUAAACGGUGCACACUAGGUCUUGGCGGAUUCGACCCCACUAGGGCCCAAGCUAACGCGUUAAGUGUGCCGCCUGAGGACUACGGUCGCAAGACUA
rnacentral:rRNA from 1 species